UACGUAGGGGCUAGCGUUGCUCGGAAUCACUGGGCGUAAAGGGUGCGUAGGCGGGUUUUAAGUCAGGGGUGAAAUCCUGGAGCUCAACUCCAGAACUGCCUUUGAUACUGGAGCUUGAGUCCGGGAGAGGUGAGUGGAACUGCGAGUGUAGAGGUGAAAGUUCGUAGAUAUUCGCAAGAACACCAGUGGCGAAGGCGGCUCACUGGCCCGGUACUGACGCUGAGGUGCGAAAGCGUGGGGAGCAAACAGG
rnacentral:rRNA from 1 species